UACAGAGGGGGCAAGCGUUAUUCGGAAUUAUUGGGCGUAAAGGGCGCGUAGGCGGCUUUGCAAGUGGCGGGUGAAAUCCCUCGGCUUAACCGAGGAACUGCCUGCCAGACUGUGAGGCUUGAGACCGGGAGAGGUGAGUGGAAUUCCUGGUGUAGCGGUGAAAUGCGCAGAUAUCAGGAGGAACACCAAUUGCGAAGGCAGCUCGCUGGGACGUAACUGACGCUGAGGAGCGAAAGCCAGGGGAGCAAACGGG
rnacentral:rRNA from 1 species